AUGAAAAAACACAGCUUGAAAAUCAUAGCUGCCCUGCACGACAGACUGCAGGCCGCCUUCCGGCGUGCCCCGCCCCGCCGCGCUGCUGACGUGAGAGGGCGGCAGCGGCAGCUAUGGCGGCGUCCGUGGUUCCCGAGACGGACAGCAUUCGCAGGGCCGUGCUGCUGCUCAACGCCGUGGACCCGGGCCGGUUCCCGCGCCUGCUGUCCCGCCUGCUGCAGAGGCUGCACCUGAAGGUGGGCGGCGCGGCUCGGCUCGGAACCGUUCUGCCAACGCGUUUGUCACCUUUGCCGAUCAUUUAUAUGCUCAUUUGCUUAUUUUUCAUUGUGCGUUAGGCAUAAAAUCAGCAGUUGGUUUCACUGCGUCGUCCCAAAACGUCAAAGGGAAUUUAAAUUUGGAACUGUAAGAUAAAUGAAUAAACAGAAGUGCUUUUGUUGUGAGGAUUUCUUUCAAUUCUGUUUUUAUUCUUGAGAUCGCUUUCAUUUGUCCCUUUGUUCUGUGCUUAGAAGAAACAGAACCGAAAUAUGAAGUUUGCAUUACGCAAAUGUGCAGGCUGGCACUAAAACAGUGCAGGGUGGGAGCAGCACGGGUAGAAGUAAAAGCUUGUUCGUGGCCGCAGCUCAGGGGCUGUGAGGAUUCUUUUGUUACUUUAUUCUGUUUCUGGUUUCUCCCUUCCGGAAUUGCUGGCUUGCAUGCUGCUGUUAUCUCAGAGAGCUCUCUCAGUUGUUCUGAGUGGAUAGCAGCUCGUUAAGAAAGCGUCACUAACUCUUUUGGUGCUCAGUACCAGAUUAAUAGCUUUUAACAUGAGCGGGGUUUGUGAAGAGUGAGCUUAGUUAAAGAGACCCAUCUCAUGGAUCUUUCCAUUGGCCUUCCCAAAGUACCUGACCUGGGGAUGAAGGCCCUGGGGCCUUUCAAUGAAUUUACUUUCCUAACAGAGCAGAUGCGUGGAGCUCCACAUCUGCUUUUAAAAGCUGAUCAUUCAAAUAACAUUUCUGUUUUGCUACUGUUCCUGCAGACAUUGUGAUUGUUGAAGUUUUGGUGUAAUUGCCUUAUCUUGUUUAUUCUGUCAGCUCAUUUGCCUUUUUUUGGUGGAGCUCUGCAGUGUUGGGCUGCUAACUGGUCAAAACAUGGCAUUCUGAUGUUUGCAGCAUAGUAAUUGCAUUUUAAAGGAUGA
rnacentral:lncRNA from 1 species